rnacentral:tRNA from 1 species
GCGCCCGUAGCUUAAUGGAUAGAGCAUCUGACUACGGAUCAGAAGGUUGGGGGUUCGAGUCCCUCCGGGCGCGCCA